UGGUAACUGCGGGGUAGAAGCCGGGUAAACACGGUGGAGGAUAGGGUAUAUGGGUAGUAAUGGGUGUAAUGCAUCGGUAGGUGGCUAAGCAAGUCAAGGGUCAAAGAAUGGGGCUAAACCCUGCAAAGGCCGUGGAAACGGACGAGCUAGAGUGCAGUAGGGGUAGAGGGAAUUCCCGGUGUAGCGGUGAAAUGCGUAGAGCUCGGGAAGAACAUCGGUGGCGAAAGCGCUCUACUGGACUGCAACUGACACUCAGGGACGAAAGCUAGGGGAGCGAAUGGGAUUAGAUACCCGGGUAGUC
rnacentral:rRNA from 1 species